GGGCCAAUAGCUCAGCUCGGUAGAGUGCUUGGUUCGCAAUCAAGAUGCCGCGGGUUCAAAUCCCGCUUGGUCCA
rnacentral:tRNA from 2 species